rnacentral:rRNA from 1 species
UGCCGCGUGAGUGAAGAAGGCCUUCAGGGUUGUAAAGCUCUUUCGGCCGGGAAAAAAUCGCAUGGGUUAAUACCCUGUGUGGAUGAUGGUACCGGAAUAAGAAGCACCGGCUAACUACGUGCCAGCAGCCGCGGUAAUACGUAGGGUGCGAGCGUUAAUCGGAAUUACUGGGCGUAAAGCGUGCGCAGGCGGUUUGAUAAGACAGGCGUGAAAUCCCCGGGCUCAACCUGGGAACUGCGUUUGUGACUGUCUCACUAGAGUACGGCAGAGGGGGGUGGAAUUCCACGUGUAGCAGUGAAAUGCGUAGAGAUGUGGAGGAACACCAAUGGCGAAGGCAGCCCCCUGGGUCGAUACUGACGCUCAUGCACGAAAGCGUGGGUAGCAAACAGGAUUAGAUACCCUGGUAGUCCACGCCCUAAACGAUGUCAACUAGGUGUUGGGUGGGUAAAACCAUUUAGUACCGUA